CCCCCCCCAAAACCUCACCUGCGUUCCACUGCCGGACGUCCCCCCCCUCACUGACGCUCAGUGGUGCCACCCCACAAUUCGGGGGGGGGCGGUCUGUGGACAACGCACCCAAAAACCCCAUUUUGCACCCCAAAACGACCGCAGCCCUCCCCAUAAGAGCCACAUUUUCCCCCAAAUUUCCCCUUUUUGGCCCCAAAUUUUCCCCUUUUGGCCCCAAAUUUCCCCCUUUUGGCCCCAAAUAUUCCCAUUUUGGCCCCAAAUUUCCCAUUUUCACCCCAAAUUUUCCCCAUUUUGGCCCCAAAUUCCCCCAAUUUGCCCCAAAUUUCCCCCAAUUUGCCCCCAAAUUUUCCCCUUUUGGCCCCAAAUUUCCCCCUUUUCCCCCAAAUAUUCCCAUUUUGGCCCCAAAUUUUCCCCUUUUCCCCCAAAUAUUCCCCUUUUGGCCCCAAAUUCACUCAAUUCACCCCAAAUUACCCCCAAAUUUCCCCAUUUUGGCCCCAAAUUCCCUCAAUUUGCCCCAAAUUUCCCCCAAUUUUAACCCCAAAUAUCCCCAUUUUGGCCCCAAAUAUUCCCAAUUUGCCCCAAAUUUCCCCCUUUUGACCCCAAAUAUUCCCAUUUUGGCCCCAAAUUUCCCCCAAAUAUUCCCCCAAUUAUUCCCAUUUUGGCCCCAAUUUCUCCCAUUUUACCCCAAAUUUCCCACUUUCCCCCCAAAUAUUCCCAUUUUGGCCCCAAAUUUUCCCAUUUUGGCCCCAAAUUCCCCCAAUUUUCCCCCAAAUUCCCCCCAAUUUCCCCCAAAUUUCCCCCUUUUGGCCCCAGAUUUCCCCCUUUUCCCCCAAAUAUUCCCCUUUUGUCCCCAAAUUUUCCCAUUUUGAUCCCAAAUUCUCCCCAAUUUUCCCCCAAUUAUUCCCAUUUUGGCCCCAAAUUUCCCCCUUUUCUCCCCAAAAUUCCCAUUUUGGCCCUAAAUUUCCCCCUUUUUCCCCCAAAUAUUCCCAUUUUGGCCCCAAAUUCCCCCAAUUUCCCCCAAAUUUUUCCCAUUUUGGCCCCAAAUUUUCCACUUUUGGCCCCAAAUUCCCCCAAUUUGCCCCAAAUUUACCCUUUUGGCACCAAAUUUCCCCCAAUUUUCCCCCAAAUAUUCCCCAUUUUGGCCCCAAAUUUUCCCAUUUUACCCCAAAUUUCCCCCAAUUUCCCCCAAAUUUCCCCCUUUUCUCCCCAAAAUUCCCAUUUUGGCCCCAAAUUUCCCCCUUUUUCCCCCAAUUAUUCCCAUUUUGGCCCCAAAUUUCCCCCUUUUGACCCCAAAUUCCCUCAAUUUGCCCCAAAUUUCCCCCAAUUUUAACCCCAAUUUUUCCCAUUUUCACCCCAAAUAUUCCCCUUUUGGACCCAAAUUUCCCCCUUUUCCCCCAAAUAUUCCCCUUUUCCCCCAAAUAUUCCCAUUAUCACCCCAAAUUUUCCCCAUUUUGGCCCCAAAUUCCCCUUUUCCCCCAAAUAUUCCCAUUUUGGCCCCAAAUUUCCCCAAUUUCCCCCAAAUUUUCCCAUUUUAACCCCAAAUAUCCCCAUUUUGGCCCCAAAUUCCCCCAAUUUUCCCCCAAUUUUUCCCCUUUUACCCCCAAAUAUUCCCCUUUUGGCCCCAAAUUCCCCCAUUUUGGCCCCAAAUUCCCCCUUUUCCCCCCAAUUUUCCCCAUUUCCCCCCAACUUCCCCCAAAUCCCAUCGCUCUGAGUGCCACCCCACAAUUCGGGGGGGGGCGGUCUGUGGACAACGCACCCAAAAACCCCAUUUUGCACCCCAAAACGACCGCAGCCCCCCCCAUAAGGGCCCCCCCCGGCCCCAAUUCCACCCCACUGCACCCCCAAAUCCCAUUUUUUCCCCUCAUUUUUCCCCCAAAUCUCCCAGAUUUCACCCAAAAUUCCCCCAAUUUGCCCCAAAUUUCCCCCUUUUCCCCCAAUUAUUCACCUUUUGACCCCAAAUUCCCCCAAUUUCCCCCAAAUAUUCCCCUUUUGGCCCCAAAUUCCCUCAUUUUGCCCCAAAUUUCCCCCAAUUUUAACCCCAAAUAUUCCCAUUUUGGCCCCAAAUAUUCCCCUUUUGGCCCCAAAUUCGCUCAAUUCAUCCCAAAUUCCCCCCAAUUUUCCCCCAAUUUUCCCCAUUUUGGCCCCAAAUUCCCCCUAUUUUCCCCCAAAUUCCCCCCAAAUAUUCCCAUUUUGGCCCCAAAUUCACCCAAUUUGCCCCAAAUUCUCCCAUUUUGGCCCCAAAUUUUCCCCUUUUGGCCCCAAAUUUACCCCUUUUGGCCCCAAAUUUCCCCCUUUUCCCCCAAAUAUUCCCAUUUUGGCCCCAAAUUUUCCCCUUUUGGCCCCAAAUUUCCCCCUUUUGGCCCCAAAUAUUCCCAUUUUACCCCAAAUUUCCCCCAAUUUCCCCCCAAUUUCCCCCUUUUCUCCCCAAUUAUUCCCCUUUUGACCCCAAAUUCCCCCAAUUUCCCCCAAAUAUUCCCCUUUUGGCCCCAAAUUCUCCCUUUUUGGCCCCAAAUUUCCCCCUUUUCCCCCAAUUUUUUCCCAUUUUGGCCCCAAAUAUUCCCAUUUUCACCCCAAAUUCUCCCCUUUUGGCCCCAAAUUCCCCCAAUUAGCCCCACAUUUCCCCCAAUUUUCCCCCAAAUAUUCCCAUUUUGGCCCCAAAUUCCCCCAAUUUUCCCCCAAUUUUUCCCCUUUUACCCCCAAAUAUUCCCCUUUUGGCCCCAAAUUCCCCCAUUUUGGCCCCAAAUUUCCCCCUUUUCCCCCAAAUAUUCCCCAUUUGCCCCAAAAUUCUCCUAUUUUGGCCCCAAAUUCCCCCAAUUUGCCCCAGUUUCCCCCUUUUCCCCCCAAAUUUCCC
ensembl:lncRNA